UACGGAGGGUGCAAGCGUUGCUCGGAAUUAUUGGGCGUAAAGGGUGGGUAGGUUGUCCCGUUUGUCCAAGGUGAAAUCCUCAGGCUUAACCUGAGAACUGCCUUGGAAACGGCGGGACUAGAGUGAUGGAGAGGGUUGCGGAAUUCCCGGUGUAGCGGUGAAAUGCGUAGAGAUCGGGAGGAACACCAGAAGCGAAGGCGGCAACCUGGACAUUUACUGACACUAAACCACGAAAGCGUGGGGAGCAAACAGG
rnacentral:rRNA from 1 species